rnacentral:SRP_RNA from 1 species
GCCGGGCGAGGUGGCGGGCGCCUGUAGUCCCAGCUACUGGGAGGCUGAGGCAGGAGAAUGGCAUAAACCCGGGCGGAGCUUGCAGUGAGCUGAGAUCCGGCCACUGCACUCAGCCCGGGAGACAGAGCCAGACUCCAUCUCAAAAAAAAAAAAAAGAGGUUCACCAUGGCAAUGCAAAAAAAAAUUUUUUUUUUUUUUCUUGAGACGGAGUCUCACUCUGUGUCGCCCGGGCUGGAGUGCAGUGGCAGGAUCUCAGCUCACUCCAAGCUCCGCCUCCUGGGUUCAUGCCAUUCUCCUGCCUC